UAGCCAUUGAGCAGGGGGGAUCUUUUUGUGCUAACACCUACUGCAACAUGGGGCCUCGGUUUCUACGGCCUCAUCCGAAGGACCGGUCUCGACGUCCCAGAGUGGGAUUCGAACCUGUGACAUAAUUUAAGCUUAUCAGAUACUACAGGUGUUUCUCAAAGUUCUACAUAUGAUAACCGUUUUCCAUAUUAUGCAAUUGAUGAUAAUGUUGAGACGACAUUUUUGAAGUGCGCACAUACCAAACCUAAUGUUCUAUUACCAGCCUGGUUUGAGAUAGACUUGGGGAAACCCUAUAGUCUAUUAAAUAUCCAUGUUCUCUUUAGAAAUAAAGUUUCACACACCUGGCAACCGCAUAGAGCUAGACAGUUUUAUAUUGAUGUAUCAAAUUCCUCUGCAUCAACUACAAACACCAGUGAGAGGAUUCGUUGUUACAAAGAUACAACAGUUGCUCCAUACCUUCCAAGCAAUCCUUCAAUAGCUCUCUGUAGGCAAACAGCAAGAUUUGUUAUUAUUGAGUCAACAUACGAUUCACCGGAAGAUACUGAGUACUUUGGAGCCAUUCUAGAGAUCUGUGAAGUAAAAGUUGUCGGAUGUGAAAUUGGAAGAUAUGGGCCUUUCUGUUUCAUGUGUCCGAACUGUUCUCUUUGUGACAUAGAAACAGGAAUCUGUUCUAGGU